rnacentral:rRNA from 1 species
GAUGAACGCUAGCGGCAGGCUUAACACAUGCAAGUCGAGGGUAGAGGAAGCUUGCUUCCUUGAGACCGGCGCACGGGUGCGUAACGCGUAUGCAACCUACCUUUUACAGAGGGAUAGCCCAGAGAAAUUUUGGAUUAAUACCUCAUGGUAUAUAUCAUUCGCAUGUUUGAUAUAUUAAAGUUCCAACGGUAAAAGAUGGGCAUGCGUCCUAUUAGCUAGAUGGUAAGGUAACGGCUUACCAUGGCAACGAUAGGUAGGGGUCCUGAGAGGGAGAUCCCCCACACUGGUACUGAGACACGGACCAGACUCCUACGGGAGCAGCAGUGAGGAAUAUUGGACCAAUGGGCGCAAGCCUUGAUCCAGCCAUGCCGCGUGCAGGAAGAAGCAUCUAUGGUGUGUAAACUGCUUUUGUAUGGGAAAAAAUCAAUCUUACGUGUAGGAUGUUGAUGGUACCAUGAGAAUAAGGAUCGGCUAACUUCGUG